GCCACGUUCAAUACUGGUCUUGACUUCAGUUCUCGUCCGAUCACCGAAGUUAAGGGACGUUGGACGUGCUCAGUACUCGGAUAAGUGACCGUCUGGGAGAUCACCUGAUGUUGGUU
rnacentral:rRNA from 1 species